rnacentral:misc_RNA from 1 species
GUGAAUCAUCAAAUUUUUGAACGCACAUUGCACUCUCCUCGGAGAGUAUGUCUGUUUGAGGGUUAGUAUAAAUAAACAUCGGUGUGUUGCUUCUUUGUUUCGCUCUGGAGUUUAGGUCAUCUUAAUAUCCUUUAGGUUUUAAGAGGCUAAAAUUUGACUUUUUUUGCGCAUUUUAGAUGUACAUAAAUUCUUUUUUUUAUUCGUCUGUCUUAUUUCUCAAAAUCCUAUUAUAUGCGACCAUAUCGUGUGGUUUCGUGUCUAUAAAUUU